GAUGAACGCUGGCGGCGUGCCUAACACAUGCAAGUCGAGCGGGAUUUUCCGGAUUGAAACUUCGGUCGAAAGAAGGGAAUGAGAGCGGCGGACGGGUGAGUAACGCGUAGGCAACCUGCCCCUUGCAGGGGGAUAGCCACUGGAAACGGUGAUUAAAACCUCAUAAUGCCACUUUAAGACAUCUUUUAGUGGCCAAAGAUUUAUCGGCAAGGGAUGGGCCUGCGUCUGAUUAGCUAGUUGGUGGGGUAACGGCCUACCAAGGCGACGAUCAGUAGCCGACCUGAGAGGGUGAUCGGCCACAUUGGAACUGAGACACGGUCCAA
rnacentral:rRNA from 1 species